rnacentral:rRNA from 1 species
CGUAUCACCCAAGACAACUUUACGGAGUUGACGAUUGACGGAGCGAAGCGACGUCAAAGCGUUCAUUAAAGUCGAGUUGGCUUAGGGAUACGUUCGUUGGGUAGGGGAGCGUUCUGUAAGCCUGUGAAGGUGUGUCGUGAGGCAUGCUGGAGGUAUCAGAAGUGCGAAUGCUGACAUAAGUAACGAUAAAGCGGGUGAAAAGCCCGCUCGCCGGAAGACCAAGGGUUCCUGUCCAACGUUAAUCGGGGCAGGGUGAGUCGACCCCUAAGGCGAGGCCGAAAGGCGUAGUCGAUGGGAAACGGGUUAAUAUUCCCGUACUUGGUGUUACUGCGAAGGGGGGACGGAGAAGGCUAUGUUGGCCGGGCGACGGUUGUCCCGGUUUAAGCGUGUAGGUGUGUGUUCCAGGUAAAUCCGGUUCACUUUAACACUGAGGCGUGAUGACGAGGCACUACGGUGCUGAAGCAACAAAUGCCCUGCUUCCAGGAAAAGCCUCUAAGCAUCAGGUAACAUCAAAUCGUACCCCAAACCGACACAGGUGGUCAGGUAGAGAAUACCAAGGCGCUUGAGAGAACUCGGGUGAAGGAACUAGGCAAAAUGGUGCCGUAACUUCGGGAGAAGGCACGCUGACACGUAGGUGAAGUGAUUUACUCAUGGAGCUGAAGUCAGUCGAAGAUACCAGCUGGCUGCAACUGUUUAUUAAAAACACAGCACUGUGCAAACACGAAAGUGGACGUAUACGGUGUGACGCCUGCCCGGUGCCGGAAGGUUAAUUGAUGGGGUCAGCGCAAGCGAAGCUCCUGAUCGAAGCCCCGGUAAACGGCGGCCGUAACUAUAACGGUCCUAAGGUAGCGAAAUUCCUUGUCGGGUAAGUUCCGACCUGCACGAAUGGCGUAAUGAUGGCCAGGCUGUCUCCACCCGAGACUCAGUGAAAUUGAACUCGCUGUGAAGAUGCAGUGUACCCGCGGCAAGACGGAAAGACCCCGUGAACCUUUACUAUAGCUUGACACUGAACAUUGAGCCUUGAUGUGUAGGAUAGGUGGGAGGCUUUGAAGUGUGGACGCCAGUCUGCAUGGAGCCGACCUUGAAAUACCACCCUUUAAUGUUUGAUGUUCUAACGUGGACCCGUUACCCGGGUUGCGGACAGUGUCUGGUGGGUAGUUUGACUGGGGCGGUCUCCUCCUAAAGAGUAACGGAGGAGCACGAAGGUUGGCUAAUCCUGGUCGGACAUCAGGAGGUUAGUGCAAUGGCAUAAGCCAGCUUGACUGCGAGCGUGACGGCGCGAGCAGGUGCGAAAGCAGGUCAUAGUGAUCCGGUGGUUCUGAAUGGAAGGGCCAUCGCUCAACGGAUAAAAGGUACUCCGGGGAUAACAGGCUGAUACCGCCCAAGAGUUCAUAUCGACGGCGGUGUUUGGCACCUCGAUGUCGGCUCAUCACAUCCUGGGGCUGAAGUAGGUCCCAAGGGUAUGGCUGUUCGCCAUUUAAAGUGGUACGCGAGCUGGGUUUAGAACGUCGUGAGACAGUUCGGUCCCUAUCUGCCGUGGGCGCUGGAGAACUGAGGGGGGCUGCUCCUAGUACGAGAGGACCGGAGUGGACGCAUCACUGGUGUUCGGGUUGUCAUGCCAAUGGCACUGCCCGGUAGCUAAAUGCGGAAGAGAUAAGUGCUGAAAGCAUCUAAGCACGAAACUUGCCCCGAG